rnacentral:rRNA from 1 species
CGCACGAAGCGCACCCUUGCCAUCAGUUGCUACGAAAGGGCACUCUGAUGGGACUGCCGGUGACAAACCGGAGGAAGGUGGGGAUGACGUCAAGUCCUCAUGGCCCUUAUAGGUGGGGCUACACACGUCAUACAAUGGCCGGUACAAAGGGCAGCCAACCCGCGAGGGGGAGCCAAUCCCAUAAAGCCGGUCGUAGUCCGGAUCGCAGUCUGCAACUCGACUGCGUGAAGUCGGAAUCGCUAGUAAUCGUGGAUCAGCAUGUCACGGUGAAUACGUUCCCGGGUCUUGUACACACCGCCCGU